GUCCCAGUAGCGCAAUGGAUAGCGCGUUGAACUUCUAAUCGAAAGUUUGUGGGUUCAAUUCCCUCCUGGGAUU